rnacentral:lncRNA from 1 species
CCUUUCAAAACUCUUGCUGGGUUUUGCCUAAGAUUCGAAGCCUAAAGCUCUGAAUUCUGACCUCCCUGAUUACUGACUGAGGAAACAAUAUCCCCAAAAUGGAAAGCUCCAGGUCUGUGUGCUUAGAUUUAGGCUCCAAGGACUGAACACCCUGCAUGUAAGCAUCAAGCAAAGAACUUGUAAUACGCUGAAUGCUGCAUAGAAGGUUUUGAAACUACUUACCUGCUGUGGAACACCUGUAUAACUUUAAAAUGCAUCAAUCAAUCUCGAGAGUAUGAUCAUGCUUCCUGCUUUUAAGGAUCUGAAGUUAACUGCAACUCCAAGUAUACAAGACUUCUUUGGGACCCAUGGAAGCAUCUCUACAUGCUCAUGUUUGCCAGAUUCAGUGGCCUCCUGAAACCUGGCCCUAGCUAAUAAGUUAAAAAGCUCUAAGUAAUCCCGAGCUGCAUUUGAAUCUCCAAGAUCACUUGUUCAUGGGUUGGUAAUACUUUAAAGAGCCAUUUGUUUAACUGCUAAUCUGGAUCUUAUAUUCUGAGCCCCAGCUUUUUUCUAAAGCAAAGAAAAUACAAAAUAAAAGUAAGACCAAAUGCCUUUGUACCAUGGAGAGAGAAAUGACUCAUUGGAAUGCUUCUGUUUUUCAUCACAUCAAAGAUGCAUCAACAUAAAUCAACCAUUAUAUCAUGCACCAUGAUAAAAAAGGGGGAUAAAAGUCCCCAAACCACUGCCAAUUAAACCAACACAGUGCCUUUGUAUUAUUCAGAAUUUUUAUCUUAGCCUUAUUGAAAGAGCUUUUUUAGAACAUAUUUAAACAAUUCUGUCAUAUUUCAUUCUUGCAUACUCAUUAAAAAGGAAAAUAUGAGAGAUACAAAUGAAAGGUUUCCAAAAGUUUCCUCUCAUUCAGAAUCCAAUUCUUCAGAAUUAUUUUGCAACCCAGACUCUUUGAUGUCCUCGUUUUCCCACCA